rnacentral:lncRNA from 1 species
GACGCUGGGUCAGGCAACUCAGCCACCAGGCUCUCCAAGAGGAGGAUGGAGAAGAACAUAGACCCAAGAAAGUUCUCCAAGAAAAGGUGAAUCUGCUCCUGCACCUUGGACAGAUCUGCAGCACAGCCUUUCCUGAGAUGUCACUUUCUGCAGCUCAUCUCCUUGCUCCAGGAUUUGAGGGAGGUGCUCUGGACAUGAUUUGGAUAGUGGCAGAACCCAGAAGGAUGAGAAUGCAAACCCGGCCUUGAAAAGAAAAUCCAGAUUUUUUCUAUUGUCAAUUACUUAUGCAAUAUAUGAAUCUUUUUCUGGAGUAAUGUACAGUGAAUUAUACCCAGUUGUGUGCUGGUAGGAGGGAAGAAAUGCUCGUUUUGUACAAUUUGCCACUUCCCAUGAAGUAAAUACACCCACCAAAGGGGAUUCCAAGCCAGUAAGCUAAGGUGACUUCAAGAGGGUUACAAACUUCCUGAAAAUUUAACGGUCAGCUUCCUAGAGCCUCUACUCACUGGCCCCAGAACGCCCACUGCUGUAAUACCUUACUAGUUCACAAACUGAAUCCUGGUAUUCAGAAGCUGUCAUAAAAUAAUAGAUAACAAUCUCCUUAGUGAUAACCUAAUAAAGAAAGAAGAUUAAGGUAAGGAGGUAUGAUUAGCUAAUUUGAAAGUUCUCUCAAUGACUAGACAGCAGUAUUGAAAGUGAUAUUCUAAAAGCUCAUCUAUAAAACUGAUAAUAUUUUUCUGAUUCAUUAAUAACCUUUCUUGUAGUGUUAAUCUGACAAUCAAUUCACCAAAACAGGUAAAUCACAGGGGCUAUGCAAAUGUCAUUGUAAGGAAGGAAAUUGCUAGGAGUAGCCAUAAAUAAGUACAAAAGAUUUCUUUUUAAUCAUGUGCAUUACAUAGUAAGCAGUGUUCUUUAAAUGAAAUAACAGCUAUGACAAAUCUAAAGCAUUGAGAAAAGAUAUCAAGGAGAAACCAAACACCCUUUUAUAUCCAAAUACCGAAAUGUAAAAGUAUAGACAUGGGCUCAUACCAGUGAAAAGAAACACCAAAUUCGCCAUGACUGCAAUAAUAUUUUUCUUUUAAGAUGGAUGUUGGAAUUAUUUUUUAUUGAAAAUAUUUCUACAUUGAAAUUACUUAAGGAAUUUACAGCUUAAAGCAAACAGAAAUGUAAAGAAUUGGUUGGUAAAAAACACCCUUGGUAGUUAUUGAGUACCUGAAUUAUCUGGGGACUAUUAACAAAGAAAGAAGCAUUUCUCAAGUGGUAUCUUGGCUGUCAUGCUAUUUUUAAGUACUGGACAAUGAAAGUAAAAUAUGCAGAGUGCCUGACCUCUAGAGAGAGUUGGCUUACCAAUAGUAAACAGAAGGGAAAUGAUCACGGAAAUAUAUAUAUACCUUGUAUUCUGAGAAAUGUGUAUGAAUAUUUUUGUGCCACAAGCAUUUGUGUGUGCAUAUGUGUAUGUCCUUGUGGCAGUACUAAAGGAAAGUGUUUCUGGUUUAUAUCUUCUCUUUAAGUACAGGAUCAAAGGAAAUCUUUCAUAAGUAGAUGCCUAAUACUCAAAAUUAAGAAGAAUGUUUAUGUGAUAAUAUGUAAGUUAGUAGCCACACAAUAAAUGCUAAUUACUCUGCAUUAAAACCCUAUAUUUUGUGGUGGUAGCUAUGAAAAUAAGAAUAGCAACAAACUUGGCAUAAAAACCUCUGUUCUAGUCCCUGUUUAUUUAUCUGAUAGUUUUAACAUCUCUCUACUCUUAGUUUACUCCCUGACUUCCAAAUUUUUGUAAAUGAACAAAUGGGAUAAUAUACGUGAAAGUAUUUUAUAAACUCCCCCAUAAAUAAACAUAAAUUUUCUUCUUUGGAAACUUCCUAUAGCACUUAUAUCUUCACAAUAUAAUUGUGUUUUUUCCUUCCCAAACCUCAGUUGAAAUGACAUUGGCUUUCUAUUAUUCUACUAUCAUCUCUCACAUAGCUACACAGCUACUUCUUCCUGCUCUGGAAUAUAUGAUUUCUCAACUGAGGGAGAUCCUCUUUGUAACAUACAAAAGUUCAAAAUUUGAGUUUGACAAAGUAUAGUCAGUAAAAUCCAUGAUAUUAAAACUCUGGGUUACUGAAAAUAUUAGUUGUUUGAUUAUAUUUUAAAUCCUUAUUAUUUUACAAACAGAGCUC